CUGUAGAGAUACGGGGGUGCCUUCGGGAACUGUGAGACAGGUGCUGCAUGGCUGUCGUCAGCUCGUGUUGUGAAAUGUUGGGUUAAGUCCCGCAACGAGCGCAACCCUUAUCCUUUGUUGCCAGCGGUCCGGCCGGGAACUCAAAGGAGACUGCCAGUGAUAAACUGGAGGAAGGUGGGGAUGACGUCAAGUCAUCAUGGCCCUUACAACCAGGGCUACACACGUGCUACAAUGGCGCAUACAAAGAGAAGCGACCUCGCGAGAGCAAGCGGAUCUCAUAAAGUGCGUCGUAGUCCGGAUUGGAGUCUGCAACUCGACUCCAUGAAGUCGGAAUCGCUAGUAAUCGUGGAUCAGAAUGCCACGGUGAAUACGUUCCCGGGCCUUGUACACACCGCCCGUCACACCAUGGGAGUGGGUUGCAAAAGAAGUAGGUAGCUUAACCUUCGGGAGGGCGCUUACCACUUUGUGAUUCAUGACUGGGGUGAAGUCGUAACAAGGUAACCGUAGGGGAACCUGCGGUUGGAUCACCUCCUUACCUUAAAGAAGC
rnacentral:rRNA from 1 species